UGGCAUUAUAAACCUGAAUAUAUCAUUUGUUGCAUCUAAAUAUGCAUGUGGAUAACGUUAGUGAUAGUGAGAGGCUUGCUACAGUUGCAUUUCUACUGAUGAAUCGGCGAAAACACGUUUUAUUUCUCGGAUUCACUGCUU